rnacentral:rRNA from 1 species
AUUGAACGCUGGCGGCAUGCCUUACACAUGCAAGUCGAACGGCAGCACGGGAGCAAUCCUGGUGGCGAGUGGCGAACGGGUGAGUAAUACAUCGGAACGUGCCCAAUCGUGGGGGAUAACUACGCGAAAGCGUAGCUAAUACCGCAUACGAUCUACGGAUGAAAGCAGGGGAUCGCAAGACCUUGCGCGAAUGGAGCGGCCGAUGGCAGAUUAGGAGUUGGUGAGGUAAAGGCUCACCAAGCCUUCGAUCUGUAGCUGGUCUGAGAGGACGACCAGCCACACUGGGACUGAGACACGGCCCAGACUCCUACGGGAGGCAGCAGUGGGG